GCUCCAAUGGCGCAAUGGUAGCGCGCGAGACUUCUAUCACUGUCUGUCACAGCUAUCUCGAGGCUGUGGGUUCGAGUCCCACUUGGAGUG
rnacentral:tRNA from 1 species